AGCUUUCUAGGCUGAUAAAAACACAGGAGGCAAAGAUGACCUCCUACUGCUGCUGAUGGUUGGGUCUGCAGGUGGCACACAGAACCAUGAGUGAAAGGGCCGUUCAUGGUGACAGGCCAACGUGCUGCCCUUCCCAACAUAAUCACCAUCCUGCCGAUCCGUAGACAGUGGAAAGAAAUCACGUGGACAUCAGACGUUGGCACCAACAGGCCAACCCCAAAAUAAGGAUCUAUGUAUAUUCCAAGAAUGCAACUUCAUCUAUACUUAGGAUGUGGAAUGCGGCCUUGAUGGACCACGGUGAGCUCACCACCUCAAAAAGCCAGAGCUUGGAGCAGAACUCAGCCAGCACCUGUUUGUGGGACGUCCCGCCUGGGUCCUCCGGGUGGGUCCCUUCAUGGCCAUCGCUGCCUUGUGGCGGGAAUGGAGAUGUCCUGUGGGUGCUGCUGCUGUGAUGGACAACAGAGAGAAGGGAAGAAAGAUCCAACAAGGUGGAGCGAUUCAAUGUUCUUUUCUCUGCACACUCUGAGGCACAGGUGUAUAUUAUGUCUACCCUUCACUUGCUGGCUUGGUUCCAAACGUUCCUUACAGGAGUCUCAUUCAUGCUGUGCACUCUGAAGGUCAUUCGUCCAUACUUUUUGAUGUCCUACUGGGAGCCAGGCAGGGCACUGGGUGGGCACAGGGUAGGGAUCUUUGCAAAUCUCACCGACGGCCAUGCACCGGCAUGAUCCACAAUGCACCGUUAAAUGAGCCAAUGCAUUAGAUGCCUCCAAGGAAGAGCAGGAUGCGGACUGCAAAGUGCCCUUCCAGGGCCGCCCUGUAAGGCUACACAGGUGGUGCACUGCACAGGGGCACACAGCUAAGGGGUGCCAUUCUCAAGGUAGUCAUCUUGGAACUGAAUACAGCAGUGUAUUCUAAUUAA